GCUAUUUUCAUUUUGCCCUUUUCGGGUCUGUAUUUACUCGUGCUCUAUAGGUAGGCACUCAAUCUAAGCGACAGAAGCCAACAAAGGAAAGAAAAAUAAGUGUUUGAGCCACUUGGCUUGGAAGUCGAAGGGAAGGAGCAGGGAGAGAAAAGCAAGACAGAACAAUGGUUGCUAGAUAGGAACAGAAACGGGGUCUGUUAAAGUCAAGUUAACUCACAGUUGGAUUCCCAAAGGAGAAUAAGAAUAGACUCCUUGAAGUAAGUGAAAUUCAGGGCUGGAGAGAUGGCUCAGUGGUUAAGAGCAUCUGUUGCUCUUGCAGGAGACCCACAGGAGACAAGCUCAGUUUUCAGCACCCACAUGGUGACUUAUAACAGUCUGUAACUCCAGUUCCAGAGGAUCCAAUACCUUCUGUCCUCUGAGGGAACCGGAUACACACAUGCUAUGCAUACACACAUGCUAUGCAUACACACAUGCUAUGCAUAAACACAUGCGGACAAAACCUUCAUACACAUAGGUAAACAAUAGUUAAUAAACAGUGGUAAUGGUAAUGUAAGAGGUAUUGGAGGACGUCAGACUUGUGGCUCAGGGGCUGUGGUUGUCAUCCUGCCCCUCUAGGUAGGGUAUCUAUCUGCCAUACUUUCUCAUUAAGUAAUAUUAAGAAAGAAUCUAGGCAACCUGGAUGGGCACACAGCUCACAGCAGCUAGGCUGUGCGAACAGAGAAACGUCCGUUUUGGAGGACAGGGAAAGGCACCAGUCUUCUCUCUCUCUCUCUCUCUCUCUCUCUCUCUCUCUCUCUCUGUGCCAAGUCCUUACUCAUCUGAGUUGCCUCCUUUUGCAAGUAAGGGGUCUGAGUAAAGGUUCUCUUUAGGUGAUGAGUGAUUGACACUCUCCAGUCAUGAGGUCCUUGGUCCUGAAUGGCCCUGUCUGAGUGUAGUACAGGGCAGUAUGUCUACCUCUCCCACUGUCUUCUUAAGAGGGUUCACUCCUUGUCUUGUCCCUGGUACCAUGUUAAUACUGGGGUCUGAAUCGGCAAACGAGGAUCUAACUCUUCCAAGCUAGGUUCUUAGUCUCUUCACCUUCUAGGUUCCCAAGAUGGAGGAGCUGUGGGCAAAGAAGCAGCCUUUCUGUUCAUGCCCAGAGCCUAAGCCCUGCCCUGAACCCACACUGGAAGUCUGUUGGGGCUUGUGUGGGCCCUGGAGUGGAUAGUCUGGCUGUGGACUGUGGAUGCAUUUAUCAGGGGAUGGUGCAAGCCAUCAUCGGAAGCAGAACGUCUGAAUGACCCGGGACCCCGAGAUU
rnacentral:lncRNA from 1 species